rnacentral:rRNA from 1 species
UACGUAGGGUGCGAGCGUUGUCCGGAAUCACUGGGCGUAAAGGGCGCGUAGGCGGCGCGGAUAGUCGGCGGUGAAAGCCCGGAGCUCAACUCCGGGUCGGCCGUCGAUACUUCCGGGCUUGAGCACUGUAGAGGCAGAUGGAAUUCCGGGUGUAGCGGUGGAAUGCGUAGAGGAUCCGGAAGAACACCGGUGGCGAAGGCGGUCUGCUGGGCAGUUGCUGACGCUGA